AAUUAGCCCGAAAAAUUCCCGAACCAAAUUUCCCGAAACGUUCGGUACCCGAAACCGAUCCCGAACCGAAAGUUUCGGUUUGGGAAUUGGCCACAGAUUUGAAAGCUUUCGGGAAUCCCGAACCGAACCGAAUAUUAUAUAUAUAUAUAUAUAUAUUUAUUUAUUUUUAAUUUUUAAUUAGCAUUUACUUGAACCGUUGGAUUUGUUAAAAUCAAAUCCAACCGUCCAUAGUUAGGUCCUUUGUUUGUUAGGUUAUUUCAGACUCUCUCAGUCGCUCUCGCUCUCUCACCUCACUGGCGCCGCUCGCCUCACUCACUCUCACAGUCCCCCCGCUCCACUCCUCCGUCGAAUCCACGCCGCUCCUCAUCGUCCACCCCGCUUCUCUCGGAUGACGAUGAGAAUCCACGCCGCUCCUCAUCGUCAUCCGCUAAUCCUCAUCGUCGAAUCCACGCCGGUCCUCAUCGUCAUCCGUCCCGAAAAACCGAAAAUAUGGCAACCGCUCCAUCUCCAUCGUCAUCCGCAUCGUCAAAAUCGUCAAAGGGAUGGAUAAACAGCAUCUCAGCGAUCGCCUCUCGUGUCUACUUCUUCCUCAUCAUUCUUCAGAUCCCGCUUUUCAGGUACUCCAGUUCUCACUCCAUUAAUCCCUACACUCUCUGUAUCCAAAUCUGUGUACUUUUUUUCUAAUUUUGAUAUAAUCCCUAGUUGUUCAACUUGUUUGGCUAUCUGGGUUUGCUUAUUUUUGCUAAUUUCCAUGUUUUUGUAUCUGGGUAUUUGGUAAUUUUUCGGUUUGUCGAAUCUCGGUUGGUUAAAGUUUGAAACCCUCUGUGGGUUUAUCUGGAAUUUGGAUGCACAUUUUGAAGCUAUUGGGACCGUAUUGUUGAUUUGGACUUCGAUUUUACUGAAGGAUUAAGUAUAUUAUUUGUUUUAGAUUGGUCGAUUGAAAUUUGUGAUACACGGAGUUUGGCUUUUGGAUCUGCAAAAAGGGAUUUAGUUUAGCAGUUGAAUUGAUACACUUUCGGGAAUCCCGAAGUUUCCCGAAAAUCCUGAAACACUUUCGGGAAUCCCGAAUUUCGGGAUUCCAAUAGUUUUGGUUCGGUUUCGGGAUAUAAAAUCCCAUCCCGAAAUGUUUUGGUUUGGGAAUCGGGUUCGGGGUUUCGGUUCGGGAUCCCGACCCGAACCAGCCCUAGCCGUUAUUUUAUUUAUUAUUUUUUUUAACAAUUUUUUUUUUAAAAUUUCCCUAUGCCUUUCUAAACCAUUAAACAUUACAUAACAUUAAGCUAGCAAUGGCUAGCUGACGUCACUUAGCCGUUGAAUUUGAAUAUAAGUUGUAGUUUUUAAAUAAUAAAUUAUGUUUAGCCUUCGGUUGGAUGGAAACAGGUUUUUGUGACAGGGCUUAAAACGAGCCCUAUGACGCUUUGACAUUCGGUUGGAGAUGGUAAAAAAUAUGGCAUUGCACUGUUCAUUAAAAUAUUAAUUUCUUGAAAGACCAAAGGGCUAAAACGAACUCUAUGGCCAGCCUUCAGUUGGAGAUGGCCUUAGGAUCAGUAAAAAGUCUGUUGGAAUCAUCUCCACUACUAGUUAUGCCUCCCUGCCAAAGCAUUCUUCCAAGUCGCUUCGAACGAGGAGAUGUUAGGUGCAAGUAGUAGUCCAAUUACUUGGUCCUGGUGUAACAGAGAAAUGAGGCCAACAGCAUAAUUGAAAGACACAAGCAGCUCUGCAUAUUAUUAAAUGAUUGGGGUGACAGUUACAGAACCGGCAAACCGAAGGACGAAAACCUCAAACACAACUAAUUUCAGACAUCAUCACCCUAACCUGUAAGGGCGUAGAAGAAACCCUUCAACUGCAAAGAGAAACAAACUAAAGGAAGCUGGCGUGCUCGUCUAGCUAAUAGAAAUCAGAACUUCUUGAUGAAGUCGUAGACAUGCUGACUGACUUCGUCUGGCUUUUCCUGGUUAAUGAAGUGAGCUGCAUCUUCCAUCACAACCACCUCUUGCAGAAACGGCACAUCUCUCUUGAACCCACCCUUAUGUAUGUAGUUCUGGAUACCUGGAAUAUGAUAGGUGAUGUCCAGGUCCCCCACGAUAAACUUAACCGGUACCUUGAUCUGUAGCCCCGUCCACGGUCCAGUAAGCUCCCAGGUUCUGCAACAACGAACAAACAAAGUACAAAAUUACUUCUUCAAUCUAAGAAAGAACCAUGGCUUUUGAUAAAUCGAAAUGAAUUCAGAAGGGUAUGUACAAUUGUACAUACAAGUUCAAAGCUCGAUAGUAGUUCAAUCCUCCGGUAAAUCCUGUCUUGCUGAACUUGCUUGCAAAAUAGUUAACGUCCUCUUCUGUCAGCCAAGCGGGCAAGGUCACUGGAGCUGCCCAAGAUUUUAAUCCUUGGUCCUUAGGUAUGCAUGGAGGUUUUGGACUGCGGCCGGUGAGAAAACAUUUCAUGACCGCUGCAGUAUCAAUGCUAUCAAAAUCUUGUUCGAUCUCUCCCGGUUCCUAUAACACAAACAACAAUUAUUUUUUUUCAAUUUGUAAGUUAAAAUAAGCAUUUGAGUAACAAGAGCGAUGCCGCAACAAAAUCAGGAAGUAACAAACUUGAACAUAUUCAGUCCUUGACAUUAACAAGGUUACAAAUUAGUCCCAAAUGGGUUAGAUUAAUUAAUCCCCAACUGUUUUUAGCCGACGAAUUUUCAGCAUUGAAAAUACUCCAUAACAUGAAAAUGAAUUGGCUAUGAUCAAUCGAUCUUCUACUUUAACGUAAUCUAAACUACGGGAAGGGGGAUCACAUCCACUAUGGCCAAAUGUGGCUAUGCUCGUGUCUACAAAACCAAAAUUAUAUAGCUAAACAAUAGCAUUAAGUAAUUCUGAAUGCCUGAUCAAUACUAACUAUAGUAAAAUGUAUAUUCCAUGAAAGUUAUACCAUCUUGGUAAAUAUUGAGAUUUGACUAUCUCCUUAUGAGAUCAAACAAUUUUAGAACUUUACUAUGUUUAAGCCCUCACGUUGGAAAAAGAUUAACCAAAAACAGACAAAAUAACAGAACUUCCUCUUUUGUGCAGAGAAAAAAAGGGGAAUUGGAAAGAUUUGUUACUAUGCACUACGGUCGGUGGGAUUCCCUCCACCUGUAAGUGAGAGCAGGGCAGAUGGACAUUAGGACCAAGGUGGUCCCAGGACUGCCGGAGUUGAAAAAUAAACAUGUGAUACAUGUGAAGUUUUCCUAGAAACUCAAAUAUUUGGUAUGGAUUUCUUUUAUGCCUACCAGGUGUUUGUGAUAUAAUGUCUGCUAGUUAUAUCCUAAUUCUGUGGAUAUCAAUCAUCAAAUUGCUUCACCAUAUAUUGAUAUGUGGGAUCUGUUGAUAUGAGCGUUACAUAAUUUGACUGACAAUACCAAACUUGACAAGUGUUGGACGAAAUGCCAAAAUUGUACUUUUAACACUGGGACCUAGGAAUUUGAACACUGGAUCCACCACUGAGUGGUAGGUAUGAGGUUUGACUCCCACGAGUUAGAUAGCUGAUGUGAAACCUAGUCCAAAUCCUCCGUCUUAGUAUGCAAAUAUAUCGUUGUAUUCCAAUAAUUCGCAAAAGGGUUAAAAUUUCCAGAUCAGAUCGAAGCAGAAACUAAAAGUCAAAGGAAUCUGAUUACCUGAAACCUGCAAAUGUAGUAAUCGUCGCCAAACAGUGCCCUGAAAGUAUCGAUAGGCUUUCUCUUAGGGUUCCUGGGACUGAACGCCACGCUCAUGUUGACCAAGGCUUUGACACGGUCGGGCCGGAACAGGCAGAACCACCAGGCCAUGACGGCACCCCAGUCGUGGGCGACCAGGAAGACUUGGUCAAUACCCAGAUGGUCAAGCAGCCCGAUGAGGUCGCCGACUAUGUGCAUGGCCGUGUAGGACGUCGGAGACGGCGGCGCGUCGGUGUCACCGAAGCCUCGGAGGUCGGGGGCUAUGCAGCGGUAUCCCAAAGAAGAGAGAGAGAGGAGCUGGUGGCGCCAGGAGUACCAGAGCUCCGGGAAUCCGUGAAGGAAGAGCACCGGUGGGCCCGUUCCGAUUGAAGCGACGUGCAUGUUUAUGCCGUUUGUGGGCACCGUCGUAUGCUCGAUGUUCUCCAUUGUUGACACUGUGCGCGUUUCUUGUUUUUUUUUGUCGAUAGUGUUUCUUGGUCUCUGUUUAUCUUCUCCUUUGUGCUUGGUCUGGUUCUGUGGGUAUAUAUAUGGAGGAAAAUGAAUAGGAAUUUAUCCUUUGUGCUUGGUCUGGUUCUGUGGGUAUAUAUAUGGAGGAAAAUGAAUAGGAAUUUAUCUUUUCAGAUAAAAUUCUAUAAAUGUUAGCCGUCUUUUCUGUUUGUUUUUUUUAUCUGCUUUUUUUUACUCAUCAUUUUUAUUAAUUAAAUAGAUUAAAAAAUUAACUAUUUUAGUUGUAUUAUGACAAAUUUAUUUUUAAGUACAUCGAUAUUUUUGUAUUAAAAGGAGAAUAAGUUUGGCUAAGCCACAUAAUUGACAACUUAAUUGGGUAUCGAAUUCGCCAUUUAUGAGAUUCGAACUUUAAGACCUUUCACUUUUAAGUGAAAAGAUAUCAUCAGACUAUAGUGUUAAGUGACAAUUGAGUGCUUUAAUAGUACUUUUGUACUUCUUUUGAUUUUCUAGCAUGUGAUUUGCUAUAUCAUUGCUUGAGUAGUUUAAAAUACGAUCAUAUCUUAACAUUCUAAUUUCAUGCAAACUCUUUUCAGAUUUGAAAGAUAAUUGAUUCGAAAGAAAUCCAUUAGCAAACAUUGGUACAUUACAACGGAAUGAGAUUUCCUUUGGAUCCCUUUCAUCCGUACUCUUCGGAUCCUACAAUUAUGAAGCUGAAGAGAUUGAUAGAGAUUGAUAUGGAGAAGCGAGAAGACGAUGAACAUGAAAAGUUUGAAAGUGAAUAGAAAAUUAAUUCCUAACCCACUCCAAGCAUUGAUAAGUUAGUUUCUCGAAUUUAUGAGCUUAACAUGCAAUGGUCAGUUGUAUACCUAAUAGGCUAAUACUACGUGCCAAAAUGGCGACACCAUUCUGUCGCUACCACCAACACUAAUAAAGAGACAUUCAAACCAUUGUCCAUCAUGGUGAAGCAGGAUAGGGUUGCCUGGAUAGGCAAAAAUGCGGUAUAUAGAGUGAUCAAUGCGAUAUCAACUUGUAUAACACGAGUGUACCGUUGUGAUAGCGUGUUGUUUUAAAAAUACAAAUUAACAUUUGCCUACAUAUUUUUUGUGUAUAAACACAAUUUUUUUUUUAGAAAAUGAGAAGGAGAGAGGGAGGGAGAGAACGUGGGGGUGUGAGAUGUUUUUGUUUUUGAUUUUUUUUAUAAAUAUUGGAGGUAUUUUAACAUGAUGUUUCAAUAAAAAACAGUAAAAUUUAGACAUGUGAAAUUACAUUAUUGUCCAUCAUUUUUUUUGUGUGAUAGAAAACUAAUUUGUCUUUUCACCCUCUUUUGGUUGACAAAAAAGGUUUUAUUAAUUAGCAGAGACAUAUGUAAAGAGAAACUAACACAUGUUUUUUUAAUAUGGCAUGGGGCACUACCAUAUACAACUCACUUUAUAUAAUUCUUUCUCUAUCGUUACACAUCAUGCAAACAUUAAUAUACUGAAUUGAAUAAAGGACGAUUCCGAGCCAACAAGGCUUUUUCCUUUGCAAGGGUCAAAGGAGGAGGAACUUCUAUCGAACACACCUUUACUCUUGUUUUGCAAAUAGGUUGUUUUCAUAAUUGGAACACGUGACCUUUUGAACGCAAAAAAAACAAUCAUUUCAUUGCACCAAACCCGCAUUCAAUGGAGAGAUUUUUCAGUGUGACAGGUACACGGGAUGGUACAUCACAUGUCACUAAACAAAUGAUGACACAUGUGUGCUAAAAAGUUAAUAACUUAAAAAAUAAAUUUUCUCACAAUUCACGUGGUGUAUCACUUGUGUUCCUGUCACAACUAAAAAUUUAUCCUUUCAAUGGACUGAAUUGAAUGCAUUCAAUAUUUCUUAGGUGACAGCGGGGAUAGGCACUUAAUAGUUUAUGGCCAGGAUACCAACAAACACACAAAUUAAUUGAAAUUUAAUGCAUUCAAUAUGAUUUUGCAGAAGAUAAAACCAGGUUCGUGAUUUAUGAACAUUCAGUAUUUGGCCCAAACCCACAUGUAUCGGGCAGGGUUCAGACUUGUUUUCACCUGAAAAUCUGAUGAGGUUAUGUUGGGGAAGUGUAUUUUGGCCCAAAUCAAUUUAAUGAGCUUAGGCAUCCCAUCCCAUCUGCACUUCUGCAGUUGUUGACGCAGGCCUAUUGCAUAGUUUAGUCCUUCGUUGGACUGAAAACAUAUUUCAGAAUAGAUCGAAAUUUCGAGUUUGAUUCUUAUAAAUUUGAAUAAUAAUUACUCAAUAAAAAUUUCUUUCAAUUAUAUAAUGAUACGAUGUACCAUCCCAUAUUUCGGCCACACUAAAUAUUUCCUGUGACAUGCAUGCAUAUAAGAGAAAUAACUUUAGCAAGAGCAGCUAGCUUUCGUCGGGCACAUAUGCACGUCCUCGCAACCACCGCUCUCUUACCACCCUCCUCGAAACCACUCUCUCUUCAAUUACCAAUCCAAAGGCCUUAGAUCCCUCUCUUCUCAAAACCCUACCUACUUGCACUUACUCUGCCACCACCGGUCCACCACUGCUACCGGAAACGCCCUUAUAGCGCCUCUGUAGUGCGCAGUUUGCUAAUCGGAGUUCGAAAACCAACAGCAAGGCCAUGUACUACCCAAGUGCAACCAUGCCUUCCAUAUCGACUAUAUCGACACUUGGUUUCAGUCGCAGUCCAAUUGGCCACUUUGCACGGCGCCGGUUCAACCCGAUAUUCCAGAUUCUAAGCUGGCCCGAAAUAUCAAUCAGCAAGGGAAGAGUGAGGGUAAAAUGGGUUUUUCGAGACUUGCGUCGUGGACGAGUAUAUCACCGGAACAGUGUUGACUUUGGGACGAGAGUAAGUGUUGGAUCGCACAGGGCCCUAAAAUUUAAAAGGUCCCCAAAACAAUUUCAUAUCUUAUAUAUAUAUAUAUAUAUAUAUAUAUAGCAUUAUUUAUAUUAUAUCUGAAUGUGAUAAAAUAAAAUUUCAAGCGUCCUACAAUAUUACAAAUUAUACUUGCGAUCACUCAUGUUGCAUGAAAGGUUAAAUGGGUUUGCUUUGAUAUGUAUUGAAAGGGGCUUUGUAGAUAAAAUUGAUUAUGAAGGUUUACUUGAUGAGUUUGCAAUAAAGAAGAACUAUUUUUAAGUGAAACUUCAAUGCUGGAUUUUUUGAAGCUUUUGUUCAUUUGGUUUCUUAAGAUUGAACUGAUUAUUGAUUAUUUAGUAACACUGUAAUAUGGUUUCUUAAGAUUGAACUGAUUGUUGAUUAUUUAGUAAUAAUAUGGUUAUUUUUUUUACGUUUAUUUACAUAUAAUAAUAUUUAAAACUGUCAUUAGUGUGAGUUUAAAAGUUUGCAUCACUUUUAGUUAUUGUUUUUUAGUAUCAAUACAUUGUUUAAAUUUUUUUAAAAGACAGUUUUAAGAAGGGUCCGAUGGGGGAGAAAGCCAUUCAGGGAGGUGUUGGGGUAUUUGUGGAGAAGGUGCCUAACCGUAUCGAUUUUGGUUCACCAAGAAACAAUUGCAGUGGACAAAAAAGUUCGGGUUCGUGAAUCGGGCACCCAGAUUCUGUCCUUAAAGAGGAUUUGGAGCAUAGAGACACAGAACAAUAUGAUCCAUUUGGAUUUUGGGACUUUGCACUUGGCAGUGCAAUGGGGGAAAUAAUCUAAUUGGCGCUUUUGUUUUUCCUUGGCAGCAUUUUGGUACACCUUGUGAUUGUGUUGUAUAAUUUGUUUUGUUUUUGUUUUUUUUUUUAUUUUUUUAUUUUUUAUGGAAGAAAGGUAAUAACAAUACACCAAAGUUACAAACAAAGAGGUCCAAUUACAAGAGAAACACAAAAUAAGAUAUGGACCCCAAAACAAAGCUCAAAUAAAGGAGGGACGCUUUAGCAUGAGGCGCGGCGUCUAGAUCUCUUGUAACCUCCUUGCACUACUUUUUCUAGUGUUGCUUUGGUUGUUUGCUUCAUUAUAAGCUUUCGGUUUCCUUUGGCAUCUUUGCCCGGUGAAUAAAUUUUUCAGAUUUCCAAAAAAAAAAAAAAAACAAAAAAAAACAAAGGUUUUGAGCCCAUAAACAGACAAACCAAACAGCAAACCCUCCUCAUGCAAGAACAGCCGCCGCUGAAGUAUCUCCGAGAUCAUGCCGGAAACCAUAUCUCCACACAGACUCCAUAGGUCCAGCCUUUUAACUUCGCAUAAUUGAUGAAAGAGAUCACUCUAACAUCCUCCAAAAAGCAUCACGCAAAUCGGAACCACAACCACAAACCAAAGGAAGCUAGUGAGAGAUGACCCACUAGCAACAAAUCCACCGAAGGCAACAGAGCCACCGAAGAAAAAUCCAUGGGAGGUGGUGGUGUGAACACCCGAGCCGAAGCUCUAUGCACUUCCCGAGGGAAUCGCGUCGAAACGCGUUGAUAGAUUGUGGUUACAGAUCCGAAAAUAUAUGGGGUUGAAGAAAGUCAGAGCCAAAUUUGAAGGGCACGAAGAGGAAGGAAGAAAACCAUGGAGGUGGAAGAUGGGAGAGGGGAAAGAUCGGAGACAAAACUGACCAGAAGAGGAAAAGAAAGCAGGGGAAACCGAUAGCCACCGACCCUAGCCUGAGCUAGGGCCGGCAAAUAAUGUUUUUGUUUUUUAUUUUCACGUUAGAGUUUUAUAUGACCCGGUUUAGGUAUCCGAGAUAUUGACGUUAUGAUGCUUUCAUUAUUAUUAAUAAAUUAUCUUUUUCCAACCUUUAUUGUUUUUUAAAGGUUGUUUUUGCCUCAUUUUAGUUAUCUUAUUUGAUUGGAACUUGAAUAAAAUUCACAUGCAAAGAGUUCAUGUCAUGCCUCGAUUUUGGCCCAAAGUAAACUCGAGUAGGUGACACUUCACGUUACUUUUAAAAAUGCAAAAAUUAAUUAUUUUAAAGUCUCUAAAACUGAAUGUAAACAAUUUCGUUACCACUACAAAUAAACCUCAAAAUGAAACUACAAAGGUUCCAAAAUCCAUAACAAAAGUACAAAACAUCAACGUACACUGUGUUGUCAAAACAACUACAAACAUCUAAUGUCUUCCAGAAUGAACUCAAAUCUUCUACAAAUCUUUAAAAACAUCCUAAUCAUGUCAACUUCUCACCCAAGCUGAUCUGAAAGGGAAGGGAAAAAGGGUGAGCUACAAAGCUGAGUAAGCAUCAAUAUCUGAAACGAAAUGAUUCGAAUAGAAGAGCAAAGGAGUUGGAUUCAUGAGCUGCAACACAAUUAACACAAGAUUUUAGUGAAUCAAUAACAAUACAAUUAAGUUCUGUAAUUCAUACCUAAUGAAGCCUUAUUCCCAUGGUAGUCACAUGAGCCUUAUUACUAAAUGAUUAAAGGUCUAGACUCCUUCCGAUGAUUCAAAUGAACUGAAUCAACCACAUGUUCAGAUGCUAUACGAUGUUCGAUUAUAAACACUUUAAACAAUGAAACGAAGGCAAUGACAUCUGAAUCAAUAAUCAACUGAGUUUCAAAUAUCAAAGGAGGAAACUGAAAACAGAAUCACAAUACAACAAAAGUGGCUCAAGAAAUUCAGAAUGAUGGAAGCAAAGCAAUGCAAAGCUAACAACACAAGGAUACUUACAUGAUUCACAAUGCUUGAACCAUGGAAUCCAACAGUUGAGUUCCUUAACUUAACAAAUCUCUCUCUCAAACUCUAACCUCUUAGUUUUGGUUCUAAAAUAAGCAAAAUUGGUUGAGGAGAAGCAAAAGCUGUCAAUAAAAAGGAGCCAACUUUCUUUAAGCAGAUGGUGGAGCGUUACUUCAGUUGUGGGCUUGCUUGUUAAGAGGUGGUAGCUUACUUCAAGCAAGUGGUGGAGGUUAACUUUAUAAAUGAUGCCUACUUGUUGUGCUAAAAUAUUAGUAGGGCAGACCAACCAGCCAAUCUUAUAAAGGUUGACUUGCGUGCAUUGGAAAAGCUAUGUUAUCAAUACAGUCGGUCAUAUUGUUUAUCUAAGGGAGAGUUUGAUAACCAUUUUGUUUUCAGUUUAAAUAUUUUUUUUUAAAAUGGUAACUACUUUCUGUUUUCAAACGGCCCCAAGGUUUUCUUCAACUCCAAGGCACUCUCAUGUAAUCCCAUUCAUUCAACAAUGGCGAAAAAUUAGUCUUUUACAAUGUUAAUAAUUUAGUUAUACGAACAAGCCACCAAACAAAAAAUACGAACAUAGCCCAAGCAUACCUAGGGCUACAAACCUCUAAGGAAAUUUGGAAAGCCAUCAUAACUCAAGACCAACCAUAUAAUCCCGAUUUCCAAAUUGCCUAUGUUCAGCACAAGCCGCAUAACCAUACAUGUGUUAAAUUUGGAAGAACAAAAUCCACCUUCAGUCCCAGUCGUUCAAAUCAACGUCCAAAACGCGUUUAAAAAAUUAGGAGAAACCAGUGAAGGUUCCUCAUAAAUCGCAGCAUUGAGAGGCUCUCCUCUCACAAAAACCGACCACCAUUCCAAUUCCUCAUAUAUGUACACUCAUUCUCCUUGUUUUCUAAUUAAAUAACCCCCUUCUAUUAAUUUAACAAAAAAAAAUAAUAAUAAUAAUGAAGCCAAUUGCAGCAGCAUUUUUCUUCCUCUCAACAUUGUGUGCCGCAAGAUUUGUCGUGGUCGCCGGUAAUGGUCAAGGUCAAGGUGAAAGUGAAGGAAGCAACACCGCUGCCGCCGCGGGGGAGGUGAAUAUGAAGCUUCUUGAACAAGCGUGCCAGCAUUCACCCAGGAAGGACUUAUGCAUCGAAUCCCUAGAGAAGGACUCGAACAGCAAGGGCGCUGACCUCAUAGGCCUCGCCUACAUUGCCGUCCGGCUGGCCGCGGCAAUGGCCGCCGACGUGGACGAGCACAUGCGGUCGUUGCUCAUGCACAACGCCACCACCUUGGACCCCAUGAUUCAGCAGGGGUUGGCGGACUGCGUUGAGCACUACUCCGAUGCCAACGACCAGCUUGACGACUGCACCGCCGCCAUCUCGGCGAGUAACUUCAAGGACGUUGAAGUGUGGGUCAACGUGGCGAUUUCUGACGCCGACUUCUGCGACAAAUCUCUUAAGGGACAGGAAUCCGUGAUGGUAGCGAAGAACAAAGCGUUCCGCCUGUUGUGCAAUAAUAUUUUGUCCAUAAUCAAGGCCUUGCCUGCUGAAAAGUGAUUUUCUUGAAUCCUCAUCAUACGGAUAUAAUUAGUAGCUAGCUAAAUAUUAUCAAAAUUUUAAAUUUAUGUAAUUAAUAUAAAUUAUAAAUUACUAAAAAGUGUCAACUUUGUGAUUGACUCACAGUUUUUCAAUGACAAUUGUUGGUUAUAUAUACCACGCAACGAUUUUAUUAACAAUUUUUUGUGAAAUUGAACUCAACACCUAAUUAACGGCUAUUAAACCAAAUAAUCAUGUGCAAAUACGUAGCGAUGCAUCCUUCUCUGAGUUCUCUCUAAUAGUUUUUUCCAAACUCAAAGCAAGGUCUGCCGUCACAAGAUGGUAUAGCUAUAUCAUCAAGUUGAUGUGAUCUGUCAUAAACAAUUAGAAGAGCAAACCUAGUAAAUUAAAUGUUCGUGAUUUUGUUUAAGUAGAGAUUAAUAAGAUGCAUGAGAGUUCCAAGGUAUAACGGAACACAUGCACGUGAAAGAAGGCGGUUCAGAAGGAUUGCUUUUGGUAACUCCUAUGUAGUUGUCUUCUAUGAGUGGCAUUUGCAUUCAUUUCAGAUGCGUCAUAGCAAAGAUAAAGAGCAGAAACAAAAAAGAGUACAAGGACGCAAUCAAUUUUGUUGCUCGUGUAACAAGGAAAAUGCCAAGGGAGAAAUGCUAAGAGUCUCUCUCAAAAUGAGACUUUCUAUAGAUUUUUUGUCAUCUCAUUUUUUUGGCAUAAAGUUUUAUAAUGUUGGUACGAGAAUUUCAUCAAAAAAUAAAGUGGCAGAGAGUCCCAUAAGCGAUAAAUUUUUCAUUGUAACUGGAACACAGGUGGUACACCACAUGUUUUUAUAUACGUGGUGUGAAAUUUUAUUUUUUAAGUUAUUAGUUUUUUAACACACAUAUCCCAUCAUUUGUAUAGUAACAUGUGGUGUACCACCCUGUGUACUGGUCACACUGAAAAAUCUCUUCCACUUUUGAGAGAGUUUUCUUAGCAUUUCUCAAUGCUAAUUAAGGAGAUUCUCUCAAAAGUGUGACUCUUUAUAUACUCUUCGUCACCUCAUAUUUUUGGUACAAUUUUCGUAUCAACAUUAAAAAACCUUUUACAAAAAAUAAGGGAUGACAGAAAGUUUACGAAGAGUCUCACUUUUGAGAUGUAACAAAUCAAAAGAGUCUAAUAGCCCAAAAUCUUGUAUUCAUGCAUUAGAAGAUGAUAUAUAUAUAUAUAUAUAUAUAUAUAUAUAUAUAUAUAUAUUUAUUUAUUUAUUUAUGAAUGUCGGAGUUGGCAGUUUGGAGUUUUCCCUCUUGGUUAUGUUCGCGGAGUUUUAGAUAAGCAACUUUAAAUCUCUCUUGGUAUUCCACUCAAGUUAUGUAAUGCUCCUUUUAUUGUUCUCAUUCUUUGGCAUCGUCCGUAUGAUUGGGCUAGGGAGAAUGCGUAUGGGGUUGCUAAGGGUAACUCGGGUCGUACAUCUUGCCAUGGGGUUUUCCUGAUUCAACUAGUUAUUUUCUUGGUGGUUUCUUUCGGAGUUUGGGGCAUCAUGUACUUCUUUCUAUGCGGAGCUUCAUGUUUUCAUCCCUUAUUGUGGAGUUGGCCCACGCGCGGAAUGGUGAAAUUUGUGGCUCAAAAGUGACGCUUCUAGUGUGAUCUCUUGCUUUUCUUCUAACUUUUUUCUCCUCUUUGGCAACUGUGGAUUCGUUGGAAAAAAUGUCUUUCCCUUUUGAAACACAUGAUUUUCCAGUGCUCUCAUAUUUGUCGAGAAUGGAAUGCGGUCGCUGAUAAAUUAGCAAAUUUAGGGUUACUUUCGUCUUUCCCUGUAUGGCAUGCGGUUCCACCGUUGGAGACUCCCUCUUCUUCAUAUGAAUUUUCGAGCAUCCUGGCAUAUAAGUUUUUCUUAUGUCUUCCCUUCUUUUUUCAUGUAUUUUUUAUUUUAUUUUUCUUGCAUUAUGAUGGUAAGGUUUAUGUCCUUCUGAAUAGGUAUAAUUUCUUAUUUCGCUAUCAAUAAAAUUCCUCUCGUAUUGCUAAGGUUUCUAAACAUAAAAAAAAAUAAAAAAAAUUUAAAAAAAAAAGUCUGAAUUCUUUAACUUGUUGGCUUUGUGAUACAACUAAAGGCCAAUAGGUUAGAUAAACCGAAGUCAGUGUUCAACGUAGAACAUUCUUUACACUGCAUUAUGUCAAAGAAGUAGAACCAUUUGAGAUUAGCAGACCAAAAGAACAAAAGCAGAGUGUCUCAAAUUAAUAUCUUGGCUUUUAGACCAAAUUUGAGUCAUAUAAUUGAAGCUAUAAAUCGCUGCCUAAUAAAUUGGGCGUCUAAACUUGUAAUCUUUUGCCCGACACGAAACAGAGUACUCCAUGUCCUUCAUUUCAAUUGCGUGGAUGGCUUGGGAGAUCCUUCUUGGGAUGUAUGCUUAAGUAUCGAAAACUGUUGGAAACUAACAACCAACAAGAGCGAGGGAAACAUGAACCCUGGAAUUGAUAUGGGGCACAUAGUUUACGUAUCACAUGCUAUACACCUUCAGUUCCUGCAGCUUGUCAAAUGUCGAAGCUAGCUUAGAUCUAGUCUUUCUUGAUCUGAGAGAGAUUUUUGUAACAAUCACUCUAUCAUAUAUUAUAAAAUGGAUGGACGUCAUGACAUAAUCCCACCCAUUUUGGUAUGUCAAGGCACUACCCUACAAGUCCAUAUCUAUUUUAGGUCAAAAACGUUAUAAUAGGAUACCAUAGCCUUAUAAAAAAAAAGCUAGAUCAGCCAACGCUAUAUAUUCAGGCAUUUCUCUAGCAUUUUUGGAAGUCACAUUAAAAAAAUAUUUACUAACAACGAACUACAAAAAGUGUACUCCAAUCUUUUGAUGUAUAUGCUUCAAAUUUGACAAAUUGUAUUAAGAGGCAUCAAGAAAGUUUCUUCUAACAUGAUUGUUAUAAAGCCAAUCAGUUACAAUACAAAAUAAGGGGGUGUGAUAUCCACACGUCCUAUUUUACUUCUCACACACCUUUUUAAUUUUCAACUGUUUGAUCGGAUGGAUUAAUCUAGAUCAACGGACAGAAAUAAUCAAGGGGUGUGUGAGAAGUAAAAUGAGGUGUGUAGAUAGCACAUCCCAAAAUAAAACCACUUAUAAUAUUGUAUCCGAAGUUGUAAAUUGAGAAUGCUUAAUUGGGCAUUACAUGCUUAUUACUUUACUUUAAAAAAUGGCAAGGAGAAAGAAUAGUAAAAGAGAAGAUUAAAAAAUGGCCUGCAAAUUGCAAUCCAAGAACUUUAUCAAAUUAAUCCGCCGGUGUAAGGCACUCCGGUUUGAGGCAACCAAUCAUCUCCCAGCAAGAAAUUAGUCACCGUGAAAUUAGCCGCGUCGGUAGAAUUAAUCACAUGAUAACCGGGCCACGUAACUCUGUUCGUAGUGUUCGAUCCGGGUCCAGUGUUGUUGUACUCAGCGUAAUACAAUGUGCUUAGCGCAAAAUCUCCGUCCCAAGCGCGCCAACCAACAGGUUCCACCAAGCUAUCAAUGUAAGACUGCAUGUAAACUGUCCUAGAAUACUCCUUCCAUGGCCUGCCCAAAUAAGUCUUUGUACUGCUGUUGCUAGAGGCUAAAUCAUCGGCGGCACGAAUGGUGCAAUUAUGAAUCGAAGUGCCUGUGUUUUGGUUCGGAUCUGUUCUACCCUGAGCCGUAAUGGCGUUGAACUGACCGCUCAUCGGCAGGCGGGGAUAAAUGUUGCAGUUUUGGAAAACCACUGCAGCAUUUCCAAAUAUGAAGUCUACGGUGCCGUAUAUGUCACAUUCUCUGUAGAAUUGCCGAAGAGAAUGUGUGUAUAGUGUGUCUUGGUACGCUUCAAAGCUGCAACUAUAAAAGGUUGACAGAUCCGCGCCGCUUCGGACUGCAACCGCUUGGUGCUUGAUUGCUCCGGCGGUGUUGCGGAACGUUAUGUUCACCGCUACAAAUCCAGGUGCAACCACAGCUGCAAUAUUUAUCAUAUUCGAGAACUUGUAAGAUACUAAUUCAACAUUAUAUAAUGACUACUGAUAUUAUAGAAAAUGCACAUAAAUCAAUUUGACCGUUAUGUCUCGUCAAAUAUUAAGUGGGUUUUGGUUUAGCUCUUCUUGACAAUUAAAGCACUUUUAAAUGUUCAAUGACAUCGUUUUCUGUCAUCCUCAUUCAAAGCAACUCUCUUGAAUGUUUAAGAAAAGUCUUAAUGAUUUUUAAAUAAAAGUAUUAAGGUGUUACGUAACCAAUAUCAAAUAGCUAAUUGUGUUGUUAGACCGUCAAUUAUAAUAGAAUGAAUUUUAAUUUCUUGUUUAAGACUACUUACCAAAUGUUGCAGAGUUGAAAGUUGUCCAUCCAUCAACAACGCUCCGGUUACCGGUGAUAAUCGUCUGGUUAAUGCCGUCUCCGACCAUCAUUAAGUACCUCUUAUUUUUAGCAACCGAGACGUACUCUUCAUAAACACCGGCUGUGACAUAGAUCAAGAAGUACCCAUCAGUUGGUGCAGAGUUGUUUGGAGCCGCCGCAAUGGCGUCAUUGAUGGUGGAGAAGUUUCCGGUUCCGUCCCGACUCACCGUCACGAUCUCACUCACUAACACUUCAUCGUCCGCCGUCUCCGUCUGCAGCAUCUUCCGCUUGCUCACGCUCUCGUAAACGGCACGCGUUUUGCUCGACAUCUUCAGCGGCAAGCGUCCGUUCUUGAAGCCCCGCUGCAUCCUAGUCGGGCGCCACGCGGCUUGUUUCUUCUUCUUGGGAACCCACCCUUUGGUAAAAAGUGCUAGUGAAACGCUGUAGAAUUUAGUGUCGUUUUUGAGCGGGGCGGAGAGGCCGUUUUUCAGACUCCACGCCGACGCGGUGGACUGAAUGCCAUCGAAACAUGUUUGCUGGUUGGUGAGAAUGGCGCUGAGGAGGGUUUGGACGUCGUUGGCUUUGAGUGUGGAAAGGGUUUUGCUAGUUUUAUUGACGGUUUCAAAACUGUUGAGCAAAAAGUCCAUGUUGAGGCCGGCAAGCAGCAGGCAGUCCUCGAGAGCUCGGACGGCGGUAAGUGACAAAGUAGAACGUCUUUGGAGAUACUUGUCGAUAAGUUUUAAGAAUUCUCGGGAUUGGGAUAAGGACUUUCGGACGGAGAACCGGCCGUAGAAGUAGACAUUUUCGGGGUUGUGGUUGUGAGGGAGGACAGAUUUGCAAAAGGAAGGGUCGGGGGUGGAUUUGCAAAUGGUUCCGGCAGAGACAGUGGUUGAAGAGUUAUCCGCGGCUAAAGAUAGAGUGGCAAAGAGUGGAACGAGAAGGAUGAGAAAUGAAGCUAAAAGAUUGAGGGAUGAGAUUAGCUUAGAAUUAUAAGCCAUUUGGAUUGGAAUUUGAAUUAGUAUUGUAUACUAUUUAGUGGAGUUGAUGAUUGGUGAUAGGCUUGAUUCAUAUAUAUAUAUAUACACACACACAUAGGAGGCGAGAGAGGGAGCUGGAUUAUUUUUCUGGCUUGAUAAUAUGGUGGUUGGAGUGAACAAUUUUUUUGUGGGUAUUCGUAUUUGUGAGGUCAACUGAAUUGUAAGACUUUGUGUACAAAUACGCGUUAGAUCUCAGACUUGAUGUUAUUUGUACAUGCAAACGUCGACUAAUAGUAGUAUGUAGUCAUCCUAGUCCCAUUCAUCCAAUAGAAUAAUGUGGUCUCGUUGUUUUAGCGAGUGAUUUUUUUGGAAACAUAGGUGCCAGUCUGUAAGGUAUUUUGCUUCUGUUACCUUUUUUGCAGAUUUAUACCAAUUUCUCUUAGUUCGUAUGGUAAUCGUAUAAGAGUUCUAUAUUACCUUUUGUACGUACUCUCUUGUAUUUGUUUGGUUCUCACAAUGCAUUCAUUCUAUAUUAUUGUAAAAUAAAAUAAAAGAUAUAUGAUUUCUUGAGUGGGUUGUCCAAUAAUAGCUCCUAAAUUAUCUUUAUAUUUCACAGUAUUUUGUUAUUUACUUAUAAAUUAGAUGCAUUGGGGCAUUUGUCAACGGUGGGGAAGGUGCCCAAGGGAAGGGGAUUGGUGACAUCGAGUAGGAUAGAUAUCAAUCUUCAGGCAUGAUUUAUAUAUCAGGAGGAACCUGUCUGGAUUCUCUUUACAAGGAUCUUGGAAUCCUCAAAUCGUGUUUGUUUAUCGUAUAUUGUGCGAUCAAUUUUCGUCAAGUACUAUUUAUAUUUAAUUUAAAAUAAAAAUAUUUAAAAUAAUUUCUGACCGCAUGAUAUACGAUGAACGGUCACUAUUUAAGGAUUUUCAGAAUCCUCACAAAUAGAAUCCGGAGAGGAUCCUCAUUCACUAAUAUAAUAAUUUGAUGGGGUAUUUGCAUGUAAGAACUUUCGGCCAAAUACAUUGUCGCAUUUGCUACUUGGAGAAUUUUCAAUUCAAUAUUAUUCUGGUAGUGGGUGUGUUUUAAAUUGAAGGUGAAAUUAUUGUUAACUAACCCAGAGGAUAUAAGAUCAGAAAAAUGCUAAGAGAACUCUCUCAAAAAUGAGAUUUUUUAUAAAAUUUUUGUCACACACAGUUUAACAUAGAUUUUUGUACUAAUAUUAUAAUAUAUUGCGCAAAAAAAUAUGAAUUGACAUAGAAUUAAUGAUGAGUUCCACUUUGAAGAAAAUUCGAUAAGCAUUUCUCAUGUCAUUACAUCCUGCCUAGCUGAUUGGAUUAAUAAAAUAUAAGAAAAACUAAUGAAAAGGGCUUGAAAACUUUGAGUUUUAAUGAUAAGGACAAAAUAAAGGGUAAAAUGAAUAGUACCAGAUUUGACUUUUUAGUGUAAAAAUGUGGUUUUUCGUUAAAGUGAACAGUACCGUGGGCUUUUCGUUAAAACUCCUUAAAAUAUAACCAUUAACACGAUCAAUUUUGAUGAGUUUAUGGUAAACUAAAAGGAAAGUUCACUCGAGUUCAAUUAGUGACGGUGGGUUGCUACACGUUGCAUUGACGAGUGACGGCAGUGUGUUUUUGAAUAUUUUCCUUUCACUAUAUUGACUUGCUAAGCUAUGCUCUAUACCUCUCACUAUAUUGACUUUCUAAGCUAUUGAUGUACAUGAACAGAAAUAUAUAUUUUAAAUCCGACCAGAAACAUAUGCAGUCUGUAACCGCGUUGAAAACUUAGUCAUUGGGAAUCGAUGAUUCUCUCCCCUACUAAUAUUUCUUCUAUUUCUUUUCUUUCUAUUUGAAUUGUUAACAUCUUAUAUUAUUUUUUUUUAUAAAGAUAAUAAGAUAAAAAGUAAUAUGUGAGAGAAAAUGAUGUGAAUAGAAGGAAAAAAAAUCUUACUCCAUUGACAGGAGCUGUUUCAAAGACGGUGGAAUAAUCAAACACCAUACACUGUACACAAGUCCUCAGCUUCUUCAUUGCCCUACCCUAAUUACAAGUUGGGUGUACAGAUAAAGUGAAGUGACCAAGUCAAUGUUUCGAACUUGCAUUCCUGCAGCUUACGGCAAAUGAAAUGAAGCUUUCCAGCAGCUUCCUCCAUGUCUAAAAUUCCACCUUUUAUGUUAAUCCCACUUGGUUGAUAAUUAUCAUAGAAUUAAUGAUGAUUGACAAGUUCAACGCCCAAAUUCAGAGAAAUUUUUAUUGGCACUAGGAAGUUGGGAACAAAAAUUAUGUGAUGUAGUAUUCUGCAUGUUGUAUUAAGAGUGAACACAUAUUUAAUAUGUAUCUCUUUUUAGAAAUCUUAUACUUUAAGUAAAAAUAGUAACAUUAUGCGGUCAUCUUUCUUUCUCUUCCCAGUUUUAUCUUAAAACUCUGCUAUAUUAAUAAUGCUUGAUGAGAUAUCGAGUCGUUAGAAAUAGAUCAAAUUAACAGGCAUAAAAAAAGUCAAAUUAAUAUAAUGCAUGAAGUUUGAAUUCAGACGUUGGACUUUUCCAUCACUUCAAUUAAUUUGUGAGAAAUAACUAAUAAUUUGUCUCCUCAAGCUAUUUGAUAAUUUUUAUUUUUGUUUUUUUAAAAGGGGAACAACGAAUGGUAAGUCACGGUUAUCAAAAUCUUUCGGACCCAGAGAGGUUAUGAGGAGUUUCACACUGUCUGUGGCCACAGUCAAACAGACUCACCAGCUUGAAGCAUCAAACCCAAAACUUUCCACGAUUUUUUAUUUAUUAGGGAACCACAGUCCUACUAAACAUGGCUUAUUAUUAUUUGUACAUACAAGUGAUAACGGAAAGAACAAAAUCAAAUUUGGGCCACGAGGUUUAAUAUUUAUACAAACUACGCUACAAGACGCUUACAUAUGCUAUAAAUGUUGAAAUGCGCACAACUUUGACAUAUAUAAUUGAUGUUAACAUUUGCCAAUGGAGUUACAAUAAAAUCUCUCUAAAGUUAUAUAGUUGGGACUAAAAUAAUUUUAUAACUUUAGAGAGGUUAUUAGUUAAGAUGGCGCCAAGUAUUUUAUUUCUUGCAUGUUUUUGUAUUCAUCAACAAUAUGUGGAGGCAUGUUUCCUUAAAAUGAGACAAAAAAAAGUUUAAACUUAUUACAGUGUUGAGUUUACUCUAAUACAUAAUUGAAAUAUUAUUUAUUGAUUUAUUUGUCCUUAAUGAAUGUUGUAUUUUCUAAAUAGGAUUCCGUGGCAGCAAGUAUUUUAAUUCUUGCAUAUUUUUGAACUCAUUGACAAUUAUAACUAUGUGGAUGUGUGUUUCCUUAAGAUGAGAUCAAAACAAAUUAUAACUUAAUACAAUAUGAAGGUUAUUCAAAUUUCCAAUACAUAAAUGGUCUCAAAUUGGGACAGAUUUUUUUUAUCACUUGCAGUAAUUCCAUUACAGAGUUUACUUUAGAGAAAUUUUAAUGUAUUUAAAAUCAUAUAAAACAACAAUCAAAAUAAGCUAAUUAAAUCAUAAUAAUUUUACUUCCAAAUCCAAUUUACCAUAUUGUUUGUAAUAUUAGUAUAAGCCACCAGAAAAAGGCACUCCAGUUUGAGGCAGCCAAGCAUCUCCCAGCAAGAAAUUGGAUACUGUAAAAUUUGAAGCAUCACUAGCAUCAAUCACAUGAUAGCCCGCCCAUGCAACUCGGCUUUUAGUGUCCGAACCGGGUCCACUGCUAUCGUACUCCGCAUAAUACAAAGUGCUUAGGGCAAAAUCUCCAUCCCAUUCAUGCCAACCGUCUUGAUCAAUCAAACCAUCCAUGAAGGAUUGCAUGUAAAUUGUCCUAGAAUACUCUUUCCAUGGCCUUCCGAGAUAAGUCUUUGUACCACCGUCGCUCAAAGCCAGAUCAUCGGCAGCUCGUAUGGUACAAUUGUGAAUCAAAGUGCCCGUGUUUUGGUUCGGGUCAGUUCGACCUUGAGCCGUGACCGCAUUGAAUUGGCCGCUCAUCGGCAGGCGGGGAUAAAUGUUGCAGUUUUGGAAGACAACUGCAGCAUUACCAAAUAUGAAGUCUACGGUGCCAUAGAUGUCACAUUCUCUGUAGAAUUGCCUCAUAGAAUGUGUGUAUAAGGUGUCUUGGUACCCUUCAAUGCUGCACCUAUAGAAUGUGGAUAGAUCAGCCCCGUUUCGAACCGCGACUGCUUGGUGCUUCCAGGGCCCGGCGGUGUUACGAAACGUCAUGUUGACUGCCACAAACCCUUGUCCAACUACAGCUGCAACAUGAAUCAAUUGGCGUACAAGUUAUAACAAAACUCGCUCGGAAAUAUAUAUGCAAAAGUAAAAUGGGGGUUACAAAGUUUUCAUAAAAAAUUCAAAAAUUAAACUAGUGCACUAAACAUACAGCAAGUUGUAUAUAGAUCACUAUAGUUCAUAUUUUCUAUUUUUUCGUUAAGUGUUUGCACCGAGAUAUUUAUUUAUUAAAUUCGUUCAAUUAAAUUUACUUGUACAAACUUAAAUUAAUUUGAAACAGAUAUGUUAACUUAAUAAUUAACUAAAACUUGCUGAUUAUUUCUUACCAAAUGUUGCUGAUUUGAAAGUAGUCCAGUUUCCAUCUGCAACAUUUCGGUCGCCAGUGAGGACAGUCUGAUUGAUGCCAUCGCCAACCAUCAUGAGGUACUUCUUUUUCUUGUCAAUGGUCACAUACUCUUCAUAAACUCCUGCCUUGAUGUAAAUCAAGAAGUAACCUUUAGAGGCUUCAGACUUGUUUGGAGCGGCUGCAACGGCAUCGUUUAUGGUGGUGAAGUUCCCACUUCCGUCCUGACUCACAGUCACUAUUUCCUUGACCAACACGUCAUCAACGUUGAUCUGAUUAUCAAGCAGUUUUCUCCCCUUCUUCUUCUUGUUCUUAGGCACCCAUGCCUUGUUGAACAAGGCCAGAGAAACACUGUACAGUUUGGUGUCGUUAGAGAGUGGAACCGAAAGACCACUUUUUACACUCCAAGAUGAAGCUGUGGCUUGUAUGCCAUCCAAACAUGUUUGCUGGUUUGUUAAGAUGGCGCUGAGCAUGGUCUGGAUGUCGUUGGUUUUCGAGUCAGAAAGUGUUGGAUAAUUGGUGUUGUUUAGGGUUUCCAGGGAGCUUGCAAGAAAAUCUACAUUGAGCCCUGCAAGAAACUGGCAAUCCUGGAGAGCGAGGACCGAGUUUUGUGAGAGAGUGGCAGAGUGGCUUCGGAGAUACUUGUCCACCAAGUUAAGGAAUUUGAGACUCUGUGAUAACGACUUUUGCGCAGCAUAGCGGCCAAAGUCGUAGGCAUUUGAGGUCUGGUUGGGGAGGACGGAGUUGCAGUAUGUAGGGUUUGGGGUGAAUUUGCAAAUGGUUUGCUUGGAGACUGGAUUUGCAUCUGCAGCUAAAGAUGGAGAUGCAAAACACGUCGAAAGAAGAAGGAUGAGAACCGAAAUUUUGGACAUGGAGAAUAGUUGCAAAUUAGCCAUUGGCUCGAAUUUGGGGCUAUGACAGACAAGUUAAGUGCUAUAAAUUAGGCAUUCUGGCGUUGUAUUUAUAUAGGCUGAGCUUCAACAGAAUUAGUUUCAUGUCCAUUUGCUGAAUCCAAAUGCAGUCAAAAACCUUGAAAAAAUUUCCUUGUGUUUCCUAACAUUAGGCAAAUUCCACUGUCAACUUAUUUCAACUAUAACAUUUGUAUAUAUACUAUAUAAUUAUUCUAGUUUUCCAUUUGUUUGAAUAAAAGUUAUAAAAUCGCUUAAUGUUAAUUUAUAAUACUUUAAUUUUGUUGAAAUAUGAUAAUUAUGUGUGUGUGUGUGUGUAUAUAUAUGGUCUUGAGUCAAAUAAGAAAUAUAUAUAUAUAUAUAUAUAUAUGGUCUUGAGUCAAAUAAGAAAUGGUCUACGUACGUAAAUUAAUUUAUGAACUUGGUUCUUCUAGGUCAAAUUAAGCAGCAAGUUAAUUUCCUUGGUAACCGAAUGUUUGAAAUUGGAAGUUGUUUUAUUUGGUAUAAUGUCAUUAGUUGAGAAGAACCAUUAUAUAGGGUUAUAAUAAUUAAUUAGUUUCCAAAUUUCAGUGGUAAUUUAGUGCAAGUUCUAAGCUUUCAGCUCCUAGCCAAAGAAAAUAUAAGAUGCAUAGCCUUUGACUGAGACUGAGAGGUGACAUAAAUAUACAGAAUAGCUGCACAUUUUCAACUGCUUGUAUAGAGUUGCUUCAGGAAAAACUAUUUGCUACUAUACAAUAACAACAAUGAUCCUUAUCCCACUAAGUGGGGUUGUCUGUAUGAAUCAUAGGACGCAAUUAUCUCGAUUUGUGUCAAGUCUUCCGUUAACUCCACGUGCUCCAUGUCUUUUUUUUAGUCACUUUCCAAGUCUUCGUAGAUACUACUAUACACUUAAGUUAUAACUCCCAGACCCUGCAUAAAGCGGGAGCCUUGUGCACUGGGUACGACCUUUUUUAUGUCUUAGGGUUGUCUAGUAGAAUGAAUUUUAUGAUUGCUUUCUUAUGGUUUACUAAGAUUUAUGAUUGCUUUCAUGUAUGUUCAGAAUUAGGGUUUCAUAAAUACACCUUGUAAAACAAGAUCGAAGUGUUGUGAUUCGUUUUCUUCUUUUCUCAUCCCUUUGAUUCGGUAACAAAUUCUCAUUUAAAAAAAAAAAUUAGACAAAUGAUGUAUAUAUUCAACCUCUUUGAUUCCUCCAGUUUAGCCAAGUGUGAUAAACAUAAGAUGCUCGUUUAAUAAUAUUUUAUUUUUUCACCAUUUAUGCUAUCUAGAGAAAAUACAUAAAAGAAAUGUGUGAGUAGGAGAAACAAUAAAGAUGAAGGAAUAUAAAUAAAAAAAUUUAAAGUGAAAAGCUGAAAAUAGUUUCGUUUUUGUUUUUAAUGUGUGCCUUUUCUUAUACAUUUCUUAUCUCUCCCACCUUCAUCCGUCCACUCUUAUUCAUCUCUCAUUUCCAUGUCUUUUCCUUAUAUCACUAACACAAAUAUAAAAAUAUAAAAAUAAAAAACUAAGUGAUUAUCAAACAAGUCAUGGAUUUGCUUAACUUUGAGACUUACAUUUUCCAUAUGCAACGAACCCAUGUACAUAUAUAGUAUAUCCCUCUCGAACAUUUUUGCUUCUGAACAAAUCUAUUAUAAGGUCUGAAUAUAAUUGCACUUUGAUCGUCAUGGUGCAGCCUACUUUGAGUACAAACAGUUCAUUACUCCAUUUCACAGUAGUAAGGUUAGAUUCCAUUACACCGUGUACUAAUUAGAGAGUGCUUUUAAAUGAUUAAAAGGGCUUUUAGAAAGAAAAAAAAAAUUAUAACCAAUCCUUAGUAAAAAGCACUUUCCAAACAUUUUUGUUAGAUAAUGGAGAUAGAAAGGAGGGUUGAAACACAAAUCGUCAGCUUAACACAGAACAAAGGAAGGAUUCUAAGCCUGUAUGUAUCCCCCAUUGAGGACAAAACUUGGAAUUUGGAUCCUCUCCUGAUAUUAGUAUACGAAACCUAAGGACUAGGAAAUCCGAGCCCUUUGUUUGUGUAAAAGAGAAAUCAAAGCUCUUGAUUUGUGUGAGGUGGGCUAGUGGAAUGAGUUAAUAGGGACUGUCGAAUUCAAUUUGAGUGGUUCUGAUUCUCUGGUUCUUGCGCUCCGGACUGUGAGAUAUGGAGUGAAUCUCUGUCCCAAAACUUGCACUACAUAUCGUGCUUCAGCGAUCGGUAAUCAUGAUUCAUCAAGAUGAUGGAAAUAUUACCAUUACAGCCCUGGACCCGUAACUAGCUUUAACCUGCACAUUCUAUUUCAAAUUUUGAACAGAGUUUCCUCAUGGAAAUGUUAAGUAGACUAUUUUUUAAACUACAUUUGUAAACUAUGUGAUGUGUUAUCAAUAAAAAAUAAACACGUUAAUCAAAUAAUUAAGUAAUAAUCAAAUCAUCGACAACCAUGUCGUAUAGUUUACGUAAUUAAUGUAGUUUAAAUAGAUAGUUUCCCUAGCAUUACUCUUGCCUCACUAGUAAUUCGCAUGCUUAUCAAGUCAAAAGAAAAUCAAAUUAAGGACCCGUCUGAAAAUGUAAUUUGACUAAAAAGUAUUUGGGAGCGUUUUAUAGAAGAAUAUCAUAAUUUUCAUAUACUUUAAAUAGAUAGUCUCCGCAUUACUCUUUCUUCACUAGUCAUUCUACGCUGGCGAGGAUAAUGGCUAUCUUCCUCCAAGUUGGCUAGCCUGGUGUUCUCUUCUCGUCUUCUUGGUUUACUAGCUCCAUCAGGGCCACUGAACAACAUAGCUCUUUAUCUCGCUCUUCUGCUUGUCAUAGUACUCGGGGAGUAUGUAUGACUACGUGGCACAAGACGUGCUUAGUUGGGUAGAAAACACAACCAAUUUGUAUGUGUUUCUUAAAGACGGCAUCAAACUAUUAACGUUCAAAAUUGAAGGUCAACAAAGACCAGUAUGGCCAACCGUGGUUCGACAUAGGGUAAAGGCUAAAUGAUAGACAACAAAACUUAAGUGGUUUACCUCAAAACUAGGUUGUGUCCAUUGUAGUGAUAUGUAUAUAUAUUUGAUGUGGGUUAUAAAAGUGUUUUAAGUCUAAACUUUUUUUUUGUCUGAUCCCUUACAAGAGGGCCCUCUUAUAUAGGCCUUUUAUGAGCCCCAAAAGUCUUGGGAUUUCAAGUACUUCAUUGCCCUAACAUUAAAUGAACUAAACGCAUAAACGUGACUUGCUGGCUACUCGUCCAUUAUCUAAUCAACACGUGGAGAUAAAGUGACAUUCGUUCAGGGCUAAUUGCAAGGUUUCUUAGGCUAACAAAUACCAAGCAUUUCGCUCGACCCUUGAAUAGCCGAGAAAGAACUUUCCCGAGUGUUAGGUUUGACAACCAUUACAUACCUCAUAGACCUCUAAUCUUGUUGAUAGCCAACGCGUGUCUUAGAGUUGAUGUCUUGGUAGGCCUGUCUCAGAGGCUUUGUGUGUCAUAAAAUUGUCAAUAUUGCUAACUUGCUUGUGUGGGUUGAAAAGUACUUUGUGAUUAAGCGCUCAUCUUCUUUUUCGAUAGUCAAUCAAACUGAUAAGUGGUCAUUUAUAGCUGCGGUCAUUUUGUUCUUAUGAUAGUGCUUAGUCAUCUAUUUUCUUUGGGCUGCUCAUAGACCCAAGGCUUUGAUCUUCUCAUCCUCUUGUUGGCCCUCUAUCUUAGCCCACUGUAAUGGGUCCAAAAUACAACUAUAUACUAUUUUAAGGUCUAAAAGAACCUUGCAUUACAUAUUACAAGCAAAAAUCAUCAUUGAUUAGUUCGAACAAUUCUACUCUAAACAUUUCAACUCUAAUUUUGAUAGUUCCAAUACUAUUCUGGAUAGUUCCACUCUAAUUCUAAAUACCAAUCCGAUUUCGGAUAGUUUCACUUCACAACAAAAUGAGUUGGAAAUUGAUUUUUGAUAAUCUUGAGAAAGACCCCAGAAAGAAAAUUCCUAUGAAGGAUUAUUGUCCUAAUAUUCCAGAUGAGGUUCAAAGAUCAUAUAUAUUAAUGCAGCAUUUUGGUCCUUGUAGCUUGUAAUCUUGUUUGUAUAAAGAUUAUGAAUAAAAAAUUGGUAGUUUAUCCUUUCAUUUUUAAUGUUAUUCUCGUUUUUUUUUUAAACAUUUAUAUUGAAACCACCUAAUGUUAGAAUUUUGAAUUCACCACUGAUUACAAAUGGAUCAUGCAAGAUGAUCUAGCAAAUGUAUAUAUAUAUUUUUUCUUUCCUUUGGUGUCAGCUUUUUUGGUCGUCGUUGAUUCUAACCUUGUGUUUUACAGAGAGGCGAUGCAUGAAGCAUGAAGAAGCUGAUGAAGACGAACAUGCAUGCAUACAUGAUUAAGUUUAGCAUGUGGAGAGGGGUACCACGUAUCAGAGAAACCACGUGACGAUAUAAAUAAGCCCAUUUCCUGAAACAUGCCCUCUCACUCUCACCCGUCAAAUCUGGGCCAUCGGUUUCUGACUUAGAAGAACAAGCUCCAUUAUUGGAUGGAUAGAUCAUCAUCC
rnacentral:lncRNA from 1 species